AUAAUCAACCUCUUGCUCUGGAAUACCCCGGGGAAACUCGGAUCAAUGCCAGAUAAAGUGCGGUGCUGUCGGGCGCCGUACCAAAGAUAGCUUCGGCCUUCGGCGAGAGACGAGUCCGCGGCCCAUUAGCUAGUUGGCGGGGUAAUGGCCCACCAAGGCUACGAUGGGUAGCUGGUCUGAGAGGACGAUCAGCCACACUGGGACUGAGACACGGCCCAG
rnacentral:rRNA from 1 species